rnacentral:ncRNA from 2 species
AUCUUAUCAAGAGUGGUGGAGGGACUGGCCCAAUGAAGCCCGGCAACCGGUAGUAAGUGCUUACUAUGGCGGUGCUAAUUCCAGCAAUGCCUAAGGUAUUGAAAGAUAAGAA